rnacentral:sRNA from 15 species
UGUGUAUGAGAUUGNNNUGUAUAUUCCUAAUAUUCAUUAAAUACAUGUCUGUGGCUGAACAUUAAUGAUUAAUGUGAAUUGUUUUGUUUUGAGAAAAUGAAAAUGAGAAAACACACGGAACGGGCUGUUAAGCGCAAAACACAUAUAAUGGAAUGUGUUAUCGGAGAUAACAAUAUGGGUAUUUCUGUAAUUGGUUUUCACUUUGGACUAAUUUUUUUAAUCAAUUUUGUUUAAAUAAACUUAUAAAAUAUUACAUUAUGCUAGUUGUACAAAAUUAAAAAGUUUUUUGUUACACCGAACAUUUCGCAAGCGAGCUUUCUUGAUUAGAUCCCUGGGUCGGCGGCAUCAUCAUGAGCAGGCCACAUACUGCAGCCAUGAUCGCGUACGUAGCGCCAGCAUCUGGUACAUUUAUUUACCUGCACUUUUUACGACGUACAUUACCGGCAUCGUCUUCCCUCCUGCACCAUGCUUCACCUCAUCUGCUUUGAUCGGCUCUAUUUGGCGAGACGCUUUCUGGAGACAAACUGCUAUGCCGUGAUCCCCUCCUCUGACCCCCCAGGUCGCACACUCUGGUGGCUAGGAAUACCUCUUGAGUGCCCGCGGAUACCGAUAUGACGAGGGGCAUCAUCACCUUUUUU